rnacentral:rRNA from 1 species
UGGCGGCAGGCCUAACACAUGCAAGUCGAGCGGUAACAUUUCUAGCUUGCUAGAAGAUGACGAGCGGCGGACGGGUGAGUAAUGCUUGGGAACAUGCCUUGAGGUGGGGUCCUCUCAGAAAAGAAACGACUGCUAAUACCGCAUAAUGUCUACGGACCAAAGGGGGCUUCGGCUCUCGCCUUUAGAUUGGCCCAAGUGGGAUUAGCUAGUUGGUGAGGUAAUGGCUCACCAAGGCGACGAUCCCUAGCUGGUUUGAGAGGAUGAUCAGCCACACUGGGACUGAGACACGGCCCAGACUCCUACGGGAGGCAGCAGUGGGGAAUAUUGCACAAUGGGCGCAAGCCUGAUGCAGCCAUGCCGCGUGUGUGAAGAAGGCCUUCGGGUUGUAAAGCACUUUCAGUCAGGAGGAAAAGUUAGUAGUUAAUACCUGCUAGCUGUGACGUUACUGACAGAAGAAGCACCGGCUAACUCCGUGCCAGCAGCCGCGGUAAUACGGAGGGUGCGAGCGUUGAUCGGAAUUACUGGGCGUAAAGCGUACGCAGGCGGUUUGUUAAGCGAGAUGUGAAAGCCCCGGGCUCAACCUGGGAACUGCAUUUCGAACUGGCAAACUAGAGUGUGAUAGAGGGUGGUAGAAUUUCAGGUGUAGCGGUGAAAUGCGUAGAGAUCUGAAGGAAUACCGAUGGCGAAGGCAGCCACCUGGGUCAACACUGACGCUCAUGUACGAAAGCGUGGGGAGCAAACAGGAUUAGAUACCCUGGUAGUCCACGCCGUAAACGAUGUCUACUAGAAGCUCGGAACCUCGGUUCUGUUUUUCAAAGCUAACGCAUUAAGUAGACCGCCUGGGGAGUACGGCCGCAAGGUUAAAACUCAAAUGAAUUGACGGGGGCCCGCACAAGCGGUGGAGCAUGUGGUUUAAUUCGAUGCAACGCGAAGAACCUUACCUACACUUGACAUACAGAGAACUUACCAGAGAUGGUUUGGUGCCUUCGGGAACUCUGAU